CACGUAGGGGGCGAGCGUUGUUCGGAAUUACUGGGCGUAAAGGGCAUGUAGGCGGCUCCAUAAGCCCGGCGUGAAAGUCACCGGCUCAACCGGUGGAUUGCGUUGGGAACUGUGGGGCUUGAAUCAUGGAGAGGGAGCUAGAAUUCCUGGUGUAGGGGUGAAAUCUGUAGAGAUCAGGAAGAAUACCAGUGGCGAAGGCGAGCUCCUGGCCAAUGAUUGACGCUGAGGUGCGAAAGUGUGGGGAGCAAACAGG
rnacentral:rRNA from 1 species